rnacentral:rRNA from 1 species
AUACGGAGGUUCCGAGCGUUAUCCGGAUUUAUUGGGUUUAAAGGGUGCGCAGGCGGCCAUUUAAGUCAGCGGUUAAAUCGUGGGGCUCAACCCCAUUCUGCCGUUGAUACUGGGUGGCUUGAUUGCGGUCGAGGUUGGCGGAAUUCGUUGUGUAGCGGUGAAAUGCAUAGAUAUGACGAAGAACACCGAUUGCGUAGGCAGCUGACCAGACCGCAAAUGACGCUCAUGCACGAAAGUGCGGGGAUCGAACAGGAUUAGAUACCCUGGUAGUCCGCACAGUAAACGAUGAAUACUUGUUUUCGGCGAUAUAAUGUCGGAGGCAAAGCGAAAGCGAUAAGUAUUCCACCUGGGGAGUACGCCGGCAACGGUGAAACUCAAAGGAAUUGACGGGG